GAGGCCACAUCACGUUGAAACACCGGUUCCCGUACGAUCACCGAAGUUAAACUGGUCAGUAACUAGAUGGGUGACCGAUUGCGAAUACCAGGUGCUGUAAG